rnacentral:rRNA from 1 species
GCAUAUCAAUAAGCGGAGGAAAAGAAACCAACAGGGAUUGCCCUAGUAACGGCGAGUGAAGCGGCAACAGCUCAAAUUUGAAAUCUGGCUCUUUCAGAGUCCGAGUUGUAAUUUGCAGAGGGCGCUUUGGCUUUGGCAGCGGUCCAAGUUCCUUGGAACAGGACGUCACAGAGGGUGAGAAUCCCGUACGUGGUCGCUAGCUAUUGCCGUGUAAAGCCCCUUCGACGAGUCGAGUUGUUUGGGAAUGCAGCUCUAAAUGGGAGGUAAAUUUCUUCUAAAGCUAAAUAUUGGCCAGAGACCGAUAGCGCACAAGUAGAGUGAUCGAAAGAUGAAAAGCACUUUGGAAAGAGAGUCAAACAGCACGUGAAAUUGUUGAAAGGGAAGCGCUUGCAGCCAGACUUGCUUGCAGUUGCUCAUCCGGGCUUUUGCCCGGUGCACUCUUCUGUAGGCAGGCCAGCAUCAGUUUGGGCGGUGGGAUAAAGGUCUCUGUCACGUACCUCUCUUCGGGGAGGCCUUAUAGGGGAGACGACAUACCACCAGCCUAGACUGAGGUCCGCGCAUCUGCUAGGAUGCUGGCGUAAUGGCUGUAAGCGGCCCGUCUUGAAACACGGACCAAGGAGUCUAACAUCUAUGCGAGUGUUUGGG